AAAAUUGCCAACAGUUCGCAAGCAGUUUCUGUUAAGUUCAUAUAAAAUCUAACUCUAAAUCAUGAAAAGUUUCUUGCUAUUCCUUACAUUCUGUGCGGUAUUGACAUACUGUUCUGUCACUGCCGCCCGUGCAGUAAAUCCCAGUUGUUUGGUAAAAGGCGUAUGCGCAAGUAAUUCUCCUCCAGUGUUUGCAUCCACUGAUGGUGGAAAAACAUGCCAAAGGUUUGGUAAUGUUUGCUUUUAUAAAGACGAAUGGUGCACAAAUGACUAUAAUGGUCUUCCUGAAUUGAAAGAGAUUCCUCAGCAGAACUGUCAAAGGAUUUUGUAACGAUAUGAACCGAAAAACUUUGUUAUGCUUAUUUAUCUUGAAAUAAAAGUAUAAAAACUUUCUUUGAAUAAUCCAUUAUAGAA